rnacentral:rRNA from 1 species
GCUAACUACGUGCCAGCAGCCGCGGUAAUACGUAGGGGGCAAGCGUUGUCCGGAAUUAUUGGGCGUAAAGCGCGCGCAGGCGGUCUUUAAAGUCUGAUGUGAAAUCUUGUGGCUCAACCACAAGCGGCCAUUGGAAACUGAGAGACUUGAGUGCAGAAGAGGAGAGUGGAAUUCCACGUGUAGCGGUGAAAUGCGUAGAGAUGUGGAGGAACACCAGUGGCGAAGGCGGCUCUCUGGUCUGUAACUGACGCUGAGGUGCGAAAGCGUGGGUAGCAAACAGGAUUAGAUACCCCUGUAGUC